AGUCUGUUUUCAAACUUUCUAUCACUGGCGAUUCAUGUCUGAUGACAUGUCACUGCUAUGGUUUAGAAAAUUUACAUUUAUCACAGAAUUGGUGAUUGUACCGGCAAAGAUAGAGCUGAGUGUGCGAUACUGGCUAGCUGUCACAUUGAAAGUUUGGGAUGGAGCAGAGACGGUCGGCGGUUGGCAAGUCGGAACACAGCAGUGAUUGCGAAGUGCAAGAAUCACUAGGCCUGUCGAUCAAUGUACUGAUGUGUUUGUGCUGCUCUUCAGAAAUUUGUGAAUAGUUAUUGACACUCUGCACAUUUCUAUCGCCACUGAUUUGCAUUAUCUGAGUAGGUGGAACAUUUUUCUCAGAAAGAGUUUGGACCAGAUACUUUCGGGCGGAAUGAUUCGUCAACCGUUUGGUAGAUUCAAGUUUUGCAUUCGCUGCCAUGCGUUUCAUUAUGGACCCAAGCUUGUUGAUGCCAACAGGUUGUCGCUUAAACCAAGGAUGUGUCGGAGCGGGAGCAGUUUUAGAAUUUGUUGCCAAGUAGAAAGGCGCGUCAUGGCCACUGAAACCAUUUGGUCUAAGGUUAGCAUAGCGCUUAUACGCAAGGACGGGGCAGCGAUUGUCACCUGUUACCCAAGCUUUCGGCGUGACAGUCCGAACAUCCCGGAUGUUUACACCAGUGCGUGUUUUGGUUUGCCGCUCAGCAAACUGCAGGUACUCCAUUUCAUUUACAUCUUAAUUCAACAUCACGUCUCCCCAGUGCAUAUUUCUAUGGGGAGUAACGCUACGCAGUCCAAAGUGGGUCGUGUUGUGCCACCAAAGUGUAUUCAAAAUGGACUCGGGAGUUUCGAGACCUAAUUCCCCGGAUUUCCAUAAUGUGUCAAUGUCGUUCUGACUUAAUGACUGCGCACGCAUAGGUGAAAGCAUUGCUUUUGGCAAACUUGCCAAGCACAGUACUACUGUGUAUCCUGCAAGCCGGGCCAUCAAUCCAGUCUACCGGAGAGCAGGGUCGUUAACACGCUAUGGCAACCCAUCCUGAUGGGAGGUGGACCUGAGGGGCUACUUCAGUAUCAGCAACAUCACCCUUACAGCAUCGGACAGCGGGUACGCUAAACACAUGAGAAAUGCUUAUGUCGAAGUUAUGGACAAAGAUAUCAGCCUCUGCCCUGAUGUCCAGGUGGAGUGGUGUGGGAAUGUGUCCAGCACUGUCGCCAGGAAGCAGAUGUUCACCUUCACCUGCAAUGCCACAUUCCCCAUCCGCUUUGUCCGUGUCACAAGGCGUUCUUCAAGCAACGUGAGGCUGAAUAUAGGCCAUGUUGAUGUUCAAGGAAUCGGGGCUACAAAGCGAUACCGUUCCUACUACACGCCAACAGCGAACAGGAAGGUGUCCAUCCCAUCCUUGACUACAUCAGCCGUAACAGCCGGGCAAUGUGGCAUCCUUUGUCACCAAAAUCAUUCGUGCAUCGACUUCAGCUACAGCACAACAGCAUCCUCUGAAGCUAACUGUCUGCUAACCAACAAGGAAGUGCCUCAGAAUUAUGUGGCAAAUAAUGCCUGGACCAUGUACAUCAUGGACAGCUGCCUGUAAACACGACUUGAAACUUGAAACUAAACGUGGAAUCUGAAUAGAAGUGGACUACAGUUAUGAAAAGUAACGUUACCAUUUAUAUUCUCAUUAGGUAGACUCAAAUAAAAUGGAUGUAAGCACACCUUUGAAAAAUGUAAAUAAUAGCACUGCUGGAACAGUAAUGCACUGGACAUUUCAUUUUGCUUUAUCAUUGCCAUAUCAGUGAAGGAUGAUUAAUCACCAUCACCGCUGAUCACAGUGGUGUUUAAGAGAUUGUCUGAGACUCUCAUUGCAAGGAAGCUGCACACUCUCACUGCAAUAAUUGUACUGUACUGUGAAAAGUAUAAUGUACAGAGGAUUUAUUACACGGUUUUAGUAUGUGAUAUAUCAUCCGAAUUUUUGUAAAUUGUUUUUAAGUCCACGAGUGAAAUCGUUUUCGCCUUAAUCAAUCUAUCUUUAUUCAAGCACUUAAGAGGCCCCAGGCCUAUAGUAAAUGUGACAGAUAUGUUGUACAUAAUUUUAAGUUUUAUUUACAGAUUUGGUUCUAUAUAAUAGUGCGUGGAAUGUAAACAUGGCUAAGUUUUGUAUUAUUAAUUAAUCUAGACUGUUUAACAAUUGUUGGAAUUUCACAA
rnacentral:lncRNA from 1 species